rnacentral:lncRNA from 1 species
AUCCCACCGAGGCCACCAUAGACCAGCCAGCCCUCAGCGUACAUGCCAGCUAAUUACAGAUGCAGGAGCAAACCCCUGGCCCAUACAUCAAUUUUAAUGUCAUUGAAUACAGAGAACAAAUCUCAUUCACUUUGGUAUCGGCUGGAGUCAACAAACAUUUAAAAAUCAUUUACUGCGUCUGAUUUUGGGUAUGUUGAAUUGGUGACGUCUGAGUUGCUUCUGGUCUAUCCUGAUAGAAACAUACAGUAAACAGAGAAAAAAAAGGAUCUCAGGUGAGAUGAUGUAUGGGAAUGCUCAGCAUACAGAAUGAAUGGAUAAGAGGCCUGAAAACAUAAUCCUGUAAACAACCAUAUUGAAAGAGAAGACAGAAGACAUCAAACAGGAUUUUGGAAGCAUUGCCUUCUACAGAAUCCACAGUAGUCCGAAGCUCUUCUACGGUUUUUGUCAAACUUUGAUUUUCCAUCUCUAGCUUCAAUAAUCUACUUGAUGUCAACUCAUUCACCUCAUGGCCCAGGGAUUUCUGGGGUGCUAUAAUAUUGAAAAAUACACCAUUGUAUUUACUCUUUACUGUUUUUACUAUGUUUACUCUUUACUAUUUAAAAAGUUGAGUGUAUAUGCAUUGCAUCAUCUGAUCCUUAACUUUAUUAAAAAUUCAAUGAGGUUAUAUAAGAUAAACAAGAUAAAAGAAGUAAAUCUUUUUUUUCCUUUUCUUUUUUUCUUUUUUUUAAAGAGACGGGGUCUCUCUCUGUCACCCAGGCUGGAGUGCAGUGAUGUGCUCCUAGCUCACUGCAGCCUCAAACGCCUGGUCUGAAGGGAUCCUC